rnacentral:rRNA from 1 species
CCUACGGGAGACAGCAGUGGGGAAUAUUGGGCAAUGGGCGCAAGCCUGACCCAGCAACGCCGCGUGAAGGAAGAAGGCUUUCGGGUUGUAAACUUCUUUUGUCAGGGACGAAGCAAGUGACGGUACCUGACGAAUAAGCCACGGCUAACUACGUGCCAGCAGCCGCGGUAAUACGGAGGUGGCAAGCGUUAUCCGGAUUUACUGGGUGUAAAGGGCGUGUAGGCGGGACUGCAAGUCAGAUGUGAAAACCACGGGCUCAACCUAUGGCCUGCAUUUGAAACUGUCGGUCUUGAGUACUGGAGAGGCAGACGGAAUGCGCAGUGUAGCGGUGAAAUGCGUAGAUAUUAGGAGGAACACCAGUGGCGAAGGCGGUCUGCCGGAUACACACUGACGCUGAGGCGCGAAAGCGUGGGGAGCAAACAGGAUUAGAUACCCCUGUAGUC